GACGAACGCUGGCGGCGUGCCUAACACAUGCAAGUCGAGCGGCAAGGCCCUUUCGGGGGUACACGAGCGGCGAACGGGUGAGUAACACGUGGGUGACCUGCCCUCAGCUCUGGGAUAAGCCUGGGAAACUGGGUCUAAUACUGGAUAUGACUCCACGGUGCAUGUCGUGGGGUGGAAAGCCUUGUGCGGCUGAGGAUGGGCCCGCGGCCUAUCAGCUUGUUGGUGGGGUGAUGGCCUACCAAGGCGACGACGGGUAGCCGGCCUGAGAGGGCGACCGGCCACACUGGGACUGAGACACGGCCCAGACUCCUACGGGAGGCAGCAGUGGGGAAUCUUGCGCAAUGGGCGAAAGCCUGACGCAGCGACGCCGCGUGAGGGAUGACGGCCU
rnacentral:rRNA from 1 species